rnacentral:rRNA from 1 species
UAGUCCACGCUGUAAACGUUGGGCGCUAGGUGUGGGGGGCCUCUCCGGUUCUCUGUGCCGCAGCUAACGCAUUAAGCGCCCCGCCUGGGGAGUACGGCCGCAAGGCUAAAACUCAAAGGAAUUGACGGGGGCCCGCACAAGCGGCGGAGCAUGCGGAUUAAUUCGAUGCAACGCGAAGAACCUUACCUGGGUUUGACAUCGCCGGAAAACUCGCAGAGAUGUGGGGUCCUUCGGGGCCGGUGAC